rnacentral:hammerhead_ribozyme from 1 species
AUUUAGCUGACGAGUCCCAAAUAGGACGAAACGUGCAUCAAACUAAAU